GUAGUCAUAUGCUUGUCUCAAAGAUUAUGCCAUGCAUGUCUAAGUAUAAGCAAUUUAUACGGUGAAACUGCGAAUGACUCAUUAAAUCAGUUAUAGUUUAUUUGAUAGUACCUUACUACAUGGAUACCUGUGGUAAUUCUAGAGCUAAUACAUGCUUAAAACUCCGACUUCGGAAGGAGUGUAUUUAUUAGAUAAAAACCAAUGUCCUCCGGGGCUCCUUGGUGAAUCAUGAUAACUUCUCGAAUCGCAUGGCCUUGCGCUGGCGAUGGUUCAUUCAAAUUUCUGCCCUAUCAACUUUCGAUGGUAGGAUAGUGACCUACCAUGGUGGCAACGGGUAACGGGGAAU
rnacentral:rRNA from 1 species